UCGACUUAGAAAGACAAUUAUAUCCUUUUUGAUUUUAUUUUUACUUUUCUUUUUGUUAUUUAUUAUUUUUUAUGAUAAAAGAUAAUGUGAAAUUGGGCCCACCACACCCCUUAUCUCUUCAAAUUCUUCUUUUUUUACCGAAUUCUUCGUUACCCUCUUGCCCUACUGGAACCCUUUGGCCGCCUUCUCACACACCCAUUUCUUUUAAUACAUCACCAAAUGCCUGAAACACACACUUCAUCCAUCGAUUUGCUCAUUCGUUCUAAACACACACUUCCCGCAUAGAUUUCCUUGAAGGUAAUGGGAUAAGCGAUGAACAGUAAUCCUCGUCCACAUUGCAGCGAUGUUGACAAGUGGGUUGUGGUGAUGGAAGCCUGCCGACGAUAGAAGAGAGAAAAGAGAAAGAUGCAUCUUCGGUUUGAUUCAAUGGAUUCUUCAAAGACAAAAUAGAGAGAGGCAAAAUACGGUGAAGGGUACGAUAAAAAUUCAUAUUACAGUGGAAGAUAUAUUUAGGUUUUGAGAUCGAUUUAAGAUUUGCAAAAAUCAAGAAAAAAUUUCAGGCUCAACAUUAGUUUAUUUUUUUCUCGCUCUAUCUCUUGUUUUACCGGAGAAUGGCAUGAGAUCCACCGCCAUUCUGCCGAAGUCCACCACCACCGCCACUCCACCACCCACCACACUCCUCACCUUAAACCUCAAUCUGCCCUUUUUCACCGUCUGAUUCCACCCAUGAUAUCCAAUCUAAAUGCACCAUCUUCGACUCCAUAUGUUAUGGGUAAACCACUUUAAUUGCUCUGGUUUGUUCCUUCCAGAAAAUCUCAAAAAUUGCAACCCCAAUUUAAGUUUUCGUUUGGGAUACACAUAAGAGAUCAGACAAGUAAGCGAGGGGGUAGGAUUUGAGAUUGGAGAAGAUGAACCAAGAGAAGAUUGAUGGGUUGCUUUGAUAUUUGAUUCUGAUUUUGGGUAUUAUUGUUAGAAGACUGUAUUUGUGUUUUUGUUAGUAGACUGCAUUUAAUCGAUUAUAUAUGGGUUCUUUUUGUAAUUAGAUCCAUCAAGUUUAUGUUUACUUGUUCA